UUUUUAACCUUGAGAACCAGUUGAGUAAUCCACUAUCAACAACGGACCCUUGUUGGGCUCCAAUAAUAGUUGAUCUUUGUGGAAUGAUUCAUGUGUGCCAGGCACUGUGCUAGACCCUGCAAAUUAUAAUGUGCUUUAAUUUCCUCAAGGACCCUUCAGGAAUGCACUUGGACAGAGAUUAAGUAAUUUGAUAUCACACAGCAAGCAACUAGCAGGGCCAGGGUUUGAACCUGAGUCUGACUCCAGAGCCCAGGAAUCCACUUAUUCUGCCUUCUUCUCUGUGCAGACCACUUUCAAGGAUCUAUGAACACAAACAGAAGUACCCUGCUUUGAUCUACUUCAGAAGCUGAAAGUAGGCUGUGGUAAAGCAGAAAAUCCAGAGGAAUCCACACUCUGAACCAUAUUUCUUUUGGAUACCCAAUGCCUGGACUCCACUAUAGACCUACCAGACAUCCAACUCUGCUUUCCCAAGACCCACUCAUGACCUUGUCCACCUACUUCCCCAGAAGAGGCUCUUCUGUUCCAGGUAACCUAAGAGAGACAACAAAUAGAGGUGAUUUGAAUUGAAUGGAGUGUGAUGUCAGCAACCCAAACAGAGCUGCUCAGCCGGCCAGCACUGCAGGUGAAGGAGUCAAAGAAUGACAAGGAAGUUUCACAGAACUCAGUCUGCCGGACUCUCUUCCACGUGAUCUCAAGCUGGGGGUCGGAUGUCCAAGAUGGCGCCUUGGCUGGGCAGAUUCUCUGUCCCUGGGCCUUCCCCACGUGCCUAGUUUGGUUCUUCGCAGCACGGGGCUCAAGGUACUUGGGUUCCUUACAUUUCAGCUGGCUUCCCCAAGAGCACAAAAGUGGAAGCUGCCAGGCCUCUUAACAGGCGGCCCCGGAUCCACAGAAGAGACCAAUCUCCAACCAGUUGAGACAACGAAGCCUGGCCGAGCCUCCCUUUAAAUGAAUGCAGACAUGCCCAGCUGAGCCUGGUCAGUCCUUCGUUCACAUUCUCUCCAGUCCCCAGGGCCCACCCUUCCAACUCAGGCCUGGUCCAUCGUCGAGUUAUUCUCUGGCCCACCCUCCAAGACAGGAGCCCUUCCAGGGGACGUCAGCAGCCACAAAGCAAAGGCUCGCUUUCUCCCCCCAUCCCAGUGGCUGGGGACAGAUGCAGGAGCGUGGCUGCGUUGAGUUUGAAUCCAGGCUUGCUGUCUCCUGAGCUCUUGCCCGGGUCACUUCUCUGCGCCUUAUUUCCUGGCCCGUAAAAUGGGCACGUACACCUACCGCAUGGCUCUGUUGCAAGAUCAAAGGAGCUCAUUUGUGGAGCAUGAGCAUAAAGCAGACUGCGGACAGUUUGCACGAUCCUCACCACUGCCCCCAACCCACCCCCAACCCAUCACUCUCCUCUGGCUUCUGACUCCUUCCCGGUUCUAGGAUCCUUCCCGCAAGACUCCUCCCCAUCCGCAUUCAGACCGGUUAACUGUCACCUGCUCCAAGAAGCCCAUCCUGACCACCUCAUCUUAACUAGCAGGCCCCUCCCCCACCUCCUCACCUUUUUUUUUUCUUUCCCUUCUGGACCACCCCAAUCCUCACCGUGACCCUCGCACCAUCGUCCGUUCUCCCUACCCCCAAUCCUCCCAGACUGCCCCCACACAGCACACGCUAGGCUGUCCUGUG